CGAAGGCAGGUUCACUUUCACGUUCAAAAUGACACCUUUCCAUCUCUGUAAACAACAUGACACCCUCAUGACGCCGCAAUACAUUUGUAUCGUUUUACCGUUAUAAAAGUACAGUUUCUGCAGCUGACAGCUGAAUGACAGACUCAUAAUGUCACUUAACAGCACAUAUUUCAUCCCAACAGGAAAAACAACCGACACACGCUGUGAUAAAGUGAAGGAAUCGACUGUCACGCGACUCACCUAAUAAGGGAUGUUUGGACCGUUACACAACAACAUAAGCAUGUGGACAGACAUUGACUGUAAUGAUGGACAUCUGCUGAUGCACAGGUCCACCUCUCCUCCAUCCCCACAGUCCCCCUCAUCUCUGUUACCACCCCAGGCUUCAUCAAUACUCAUCUCAGCUUGA
rnacentral:lncRNA from 1 species